GAUGAACGCUGGCGGCGUGCCUAAUACAUGCAAGUCGAGCGAACAGACGAGGAGCUUGCUCCUUUGACGUUAGCGGCGGACGGGUGAGUAACACGUAGGUAACCUACCUAUAAGACUGGGAUAACUUCGGGAAACCGGAGCUAAUACCGGAUGAUAUUUCGAACCGCAUGGUUCGAUAGUGAAAGAUGGCUUUGCUAUCACUUAUAGAUGGACCUGCGCCGUAUUAGCUAGUUGGUAAGGUAACGGCUUACCAAGGCAACGAUACGUAGCCGACCUGAGAGGGUGAUCGGCCACACUGGAACUGAGACACGGUCCAGACUCCUACGGGAGGCAGCAGUAGGGAAUCUUCCGCAAUGGGCGAAAGCCUGACGGAGCAACGCCGCGUGAGUGAUGAAGGUCUUCGGAUCGUAAAACUCUGUUAUUAGGGAAGAACAAACGUGUAAGUAACUGUGCACGUCUUGACGGUACCUAAUCAGAAAGCCACGGCUAACUACGUG
rnacentral:rRNA from 1 species